rnacentral:rRNA from 1 species
GACGAACGCUGGCGGCGUGCUUAACACAUGCAAGACACGGGGGCCCGCAAGGGUAACCGGCGAACGGGUGCGUAACACGUGAGCAAUCUGCCGUACACUGGGGGAUAGCCGGCCCAACGGCCGGGUAAUACCGCAUACGUUCUUCGAGUGGCAUCACUUGAAGAAGAAACCUCCGGGGGUGUACGAGGAGCUCGCGGCCGAUCAGGUAGUUGGUGGGGUCACGGCCUACCAAGCCAUUGACGGGUGGCUGGUCUGAGAGGAUGGCCAGCCACAUUGGGACUGAGCUACGGCCCAGACUCCUACGGGAGGCAGCAGUGGGGAAUAUUGCGCAAUGGCCGCACGGCUGACGCAGCGACGCCGCGUGGGGGAUGAAGCAUUUCGGUGUGUAAACCCCUGUUGCUCGGGACGAACAACGAGUUUCGACUCGUCUGACGGUACCGGGUGAGGAAGCACCGGCUAACUCCGUGCCAGCCGCCGCGGUAA